UACGUAGGUCCCGAGCGUUGUCCGGAUUUAUUGGGCGUAAAGCGAGCGCAGGUGGUUUAUUAAGUCUGGUGUAAAAGGCAGUGGCUCAACCAUUGUACGCAUUGGAAACUGGUAGACUUGAGUGCAGGAGAGGAGAGUGGAAUUCCAUGUGUAGCGGUGAAAUGCGUAGAUAUAUGGAGGAACACCGGUGGCGAAAGCGGCUCUCUGGCCUGUAACUGGCACUGAGGCUCGAAAGCGUGGGGAGCAAACAGG
rnacentral:rRNA from 1 species